GCUCUGGUACUUUUUCAUGCCUUGCAAAAUGGCGUUACUGCAGCUAGCUUGCUAAGCCUGAUGGUGGGGUCUUUCAACACCACCACUAGCUUAAAGCAAAAAAUGAUUCAGAGGUGAUUUACAGGACUUCACAUCUCUUAGGGUGGCAUGUAAUACCUGUUUGCCUUGGCUGAUCACACCAAGUUUAACUGCAGGCUAAUGUGGUGCCCCAGUUGGAUAUGGGAGGCUUUCUCCAGCUCUCCUCAGUCUCCACACCUCCUCAUUUUCUUUACACUUGCUUAACCUAUUACCUUGACUGCUAGAGACAUUUGACCCUUGACCUGAAGGUGUAUCACAUGUAGUUGGGAGUGGGAUGAGAGCCUAUAACCCUGUCUGCCUGGUACAUAUGUAUGCUCAGCAACGACCCAUUGAAUGAUAGGAGUUAGAAAUGCUUGAAAGGAAGUAGUGUAUGAGGAGUAUUUCAGACACUCAAGUUCGGAAACCAUACUGGUGUGAGGAAGCUUUGUCUCCUUAUCAAUGUGGAGCAGACAGCAUGGCUCUAGGGGCUGGGUUCUUAUUUGAACUGGACAGAAAUGUAUCCUUCCAUUGGGGAAAUCAGAACAGAACAAGGAGGAAUAAUUCAUUUAAAAUUUUGCAGAACUCAAGGCUUUUGUUAGCUGACUUUACAUUUAUGGAGAACCCUGAAGCAGACUGGGUGUUUUAGAGUCACAAGAUAAUGACCAGCCUAGAAAAAGAAUGGGACAGUUCUAGAGGAGUUGUCUACCCAAGGUUAUUCAUUACCUGGAGAUGUGUUUAGCAGCUGGGAACUUAAGCCCUGUUUGAAGGAGGAUUUGGGUCCAUGUGAUGGUUAGCCUUGAUUGUCAACUGGAUUUGGAUGCCUGGGGUGAAGAGUAAAACCCACUUCUGCUUGGGCUUCUGAGACUGUUUCCUGAGACUGCGGACACAGAGGAGAAUAGCCAAGGUGGAAAGACUCUGAAUGUGGGCUGGUAGCCUGCUCAGACUAAACAGGAAAAAAGGAACCAAUUGGAGCGGGGAACCUCUCUGUUCUUCAUGAACCUGGGCACUUACGGCUGGUGUUACUGUCAGUGUACAGCGGACUCCAGCUUUGUCAGUCCUUCAACAUGGACUCCCAGGUGAUUCUAAUGUGACUCUCUAAGGAGCAUCAGGACCCUGUGCCUCAGAUUGAGGGUUCAUUGUUGGUUUCCUUGUUCUAAGGCUUUAGUCUUAGACUCAGCUGUUCCUGGUGUCUCUGAAUAUCCAGAGUGGCCUUUGUUGGACUGUCCAUCCAUCCACUCUAAUAAAUCUCUGUAAGUA